rnacentral:rRNA from 1 species
AUUGAACGCUGGCGGCAGGCCUAACACAUGCCAGUCGAGCGGAUGAAGGGAGCUUGCUCCUGGAUUCAGCGGCGGACGGGUGAGUAAUGCCUAGGAAUCUGCCUGGUAGUGGGGGAUAACGUCCGGAAACGGGCGCUAAUACCGCAUACGUCCUGAGGGAGAAAGUGGGGGAUCUUCGGAUCUCACGCUAUCAGAUGAGCCUAGGUCGGAUUAGCUAGUUGGUGGGGUAAAGGCCUACCAAGGCGACGAUCCGUAACUGGUCUGAGAGGAUGAUCAGUCACACUGGAACUGAGACACGGUCCAGACUCCUACGGGAGGCAGCAGUGGGGAAUAUUGGACAAUGGGCGAAAGCCUGAUCCAGCCAUGCCGCGUGUGUGAAGAAGGUCUUCGGAUUGUAAAGCACUUUAAGUUGGGAGGAAGGGCAGUAAGUUAAUACCUUGCUGUUUUGACGUUACCAACAGAAUAAGCACCGGCUAACUUCGUG